CCGCUCUAUCUGCGGGAGGUAGAUAAACUAGCUCACCCGUUUGCAGUCAGUUCUGCUGAAGGGUCAUGAGGACUCGAAACGUCAACUCUUUUCUUCUCCGCCGAUGCUGCCAGACCUGCUGAGUUUUUCCAGUGCAAAUUGCAGGAGCUCCCCUGGAAGUGAAUACACGUGCUCGAACACUUAGUUGGUCAAGAAAUGAGUGAAUGUGCAGUGAAAUGUACAAGUACAAUUUUGAUUGGACGCCUCAGCAGGGUAAACUGGAUGAGGGCCAACAUAAGGGAAGAGUCGCGGACCGGGUUUGCUAUGUUGGAGAACCAGCAGAAGACAGUUAUAAGAAAAAAAAACUAAUGAAAAUAAGGAGGAUGGAGCAAAAAGACCGAAAACUGCGAUACAAAAAGUGUGCUCUUCUGUCCGGAACUAAGAUGGGAAGUAGAUAAUCAACUUUAAAGUGUAAAUCGCCGCUUGAGUUUAUUAUACAUAUAAGGCUAUUCUGACUUUGUCUCAAUAAAAUGAUUCACAAUUUG